GGGGGUGAAAUUGGCUUCGACGGGAUUAAAGAGACACUAAACUGCACUUCGUGUUUCCUGCAGACACGUUAAACGGCGGGAAAAAACUUUAAUUGGCGAAUACGAUUACGCUCUAGCUGCGUAAUAUAACGCAGCCGUUCUCUGUUCUCUCUCAUACCGGGGAUCAGAAGAACGUCGUCAGGUAUGAUAGCCGCUCCAACCGCUCUUGUUGGUAAAGCGAAUUCCGCGUCGGCGGAUUAAUGAGCAGACUUAAAGUAAUCCGUGUUUGUUUGGCAACUUUAAGUUAAAAUUAUAACAAACUAUAUGUGUAGACGUUUUUUGGAUCUUAAUUUCGGACGCGGGUUCGACUCCCGCCACCUCCACUA
rnacentral:tmRNA from 1 species